rnacentral:lncRNA from 10 species
UAAAAAAAAAAAAAAUCCAGAAACUAACCCAAAUGACUACACUCAAAUAACACCACAAUAAAGCAAAGUAUCAGCAAACUUAAAUGUUGGCCAAUAGUAUUUUCUCAAGUCAAAAUUAAAAAAAAACAAAAAAUAAAUAAUAAAAAAAGCAGAUCCUAGAUUACCUCUGGGAUUGUAUUAAGCUUCCUGAUAUAUGUAUAACUGGAGUCCUAGAAGAAAAUGAAAAUAAGAAAAGGGCAGUCAAAAUACAAACAAUACAGUAGUCAAAGUUUUUCAUACUGUAAAUAGAUAGAUAAUAUUCGCAGAUUUUGGAAACUCACCAGAAUACAAGCAAGAUAAAUAGAGAGGAAACCAUUACUGAGCACUGCCCAGUAGAAAUCUGGGAAUUGAGCCACUGUUCUCCAGACCACAGAAUGGUAGAUUCACAGCAUUAGGAGAUAUACCUAAUGUUAAAUGACGAGUUAAUGGGUGCAGCACACCAACAUGGCACAUGUAUACAUAUGUAACACACCUGCACAUUGUGCACAUGUACCCUAAAACUUAAAUUAUAAUAAAAAUUAAUUUUUCAAAUUUAUCUAUAAAUUCAAGGCCACCACAGUUGAAAUCACAAUUUUUUUUUGUUGUUGUUUUGUUUUCAUUUGGCUUUUUAGAGGCAUUUUCAAUUCUAUUCUAAGAAUUCUAUGAAAACAAAAAUUUCUAAAACAUCUGCUCUAAAAAAGGUGGAGCAAAACUUCCUAACCCUUAAGUGGCGUGGGUUACACAUAGUGACAUUCAUUCAAAGUGUACUCCCUGAAAUUAAAACUCUCAAAAUCUGGGUACAGGAGAAACAUAAUAUAAUAAAAGCCAUAUAUGGAAAACUCAAAGCUAGUAUCAUACUAAAUGGGGGAAAAUUAAAAGCCUUUCCCCUAAAAUCUGGAACAUAAUAAGGAUGCCCACUGUCACUUCUGUUAUUCAGCAUAGUACUGGAAGUCCUACUUGAAUAAUCAGACAACAGAAAAAUACAAAGAGCAUCCAAAUUAAAAAAUAAGAAGUCAAAUUGUCCAUAUUUGCCGAUGACAUAAUCUUAUAUUUGGAAAAAAAACUAAAGAUUCCACAAGAAAACUUUUAGAUCUGCUAAGCAAAUUCAGUAAAGUUGAAGAAUACAAUAUCAGCAUACAAAAAUCAGUAGCAUUUCUGUAUGCCAACAGCCAACAAACUGAAAAAGAAAUAAAAAUUAAGCUUAUUAACAGUAGCCCAAAUAAAAUUAGUAACAAGGAAUUAACUAAAGAAGUGAAAGAUAUCUGAAUAAAAACUGCAAAACAAUGAUGAAAUAAAUUGAAGAAGACACAAAAAUGGAAAAAUAUUCCAUGUUUAUGGAUUGAAAGAAGGAAUAUUGUUAAGAUGUCCAUAUUAUCCAGUGCAAUCUACAGAUUCAAUGUAAUCCCUAUCAAAAUACCAAUGACAUUCUUUAUGGAAAUAGAAAAAAAUCUAAAAUUUAUAUGGAACCACAAAAAAAAAAACUCAGAAUAGACAAAGAUACUCUAAGCAAAAAGAACAAAAUUGUAAGAACCACUGUACCUGAUGUCAAAUGAUACUACAGAGCUAUAGUAACCAAAACAGCAUGUUACUGGCAUAGAAGCAGACACAUAGACCACUGGAACAGAAUAGAUAACCAGAAAACAAGUCCACAAACCUACAGUGAACUCAUUUUCAACAAGGUGCCAAGAAUAUUCACUGGAGAAAGAACAAUCUCUUCAAUAAAUGGUGCUAGGAAUACUGGAUAUUCAUAACCAGAAGACCCAUAUGUUUCACCAUAUACUAGACCCAUAUGUUUCACCAUAUACAAAAAUCAAAUCAAAAUGGAUUACAGACUUUAAUCUAAGACAACAACUGGAUGAAACUGGAGUUAAUUAUAUUAAGUAAAACAAGCCAGGCACAAAAACACAAGCAUCACAUGUUCUCACUUAUUUGUGGGAUCUAAAAAUCAAAACAGUUGAUCCUAUAGAGAUAGAAAAUAGAACAAUGAUUACCAGAGGCUGGGAAGGGGAAAGAAGGGAGGGUGGGGGUGGUGUGGAGAUGGAUAAUAGGUACAAAAAAUGGAAUAAAUGAAUGAAUAAGGCCUAGUAUUUGAUUGCACAGGAGGGUGACUAUAGUCAUUAAUUAUUUAAUUGUACAUUUUAAAAUAACUAAAAGUAUAACUGGAUUGUUUGUAACACAAAACAUAAAUGCUUGAUGGGAUAGAUACCCCGUUCUCCAUGAUGUGCUUAUUUCGCAAAAAUGUCUUAUGCACCCCAUAAAUAUAGAAAGCUACUAUGUACCCACAAAAGUUAAAUAUUUAAAAAAACAAAGAACACUGUAUUGAAAGAUAGAAAAAAAUGGGUAAAUUUAAAGUGGAAAAACCUGAUAAUUAUUACCUCAUCCAGUUAAUCAAGGUUAGCAUUAAUUAUGAUGUCAUGCAGAUAGCAUGGGUUUUUGAUAAAAUGUGAUGAGAAUGGCACUUCACCUUUCUGUCCUUCAUAUAUAUAAAAUAUAUGUUUUUUAGGAUUCUGACAAGUGUGUACAUAUUUUAUAUGAUUACAUCUUCAAAAUCUACAUCCCAAAUAAAGAACAUUAAAUAUAUAUGUGUAUAUUCUAAGAAUGAGAAAACAUCCUAUACACUCAGUUGAGAGACAUUUUAUAAACUAGUUGGCCAGCAGUCUAAAAACUGAAAAUUUUCCAAAACAUGAGAAGUCAAGAAAACUAUCACAGUCUACAAGAGGCUAAAGGGACAUAACAAAUAGAUGUUAUGUAACAUCAUGAACAUUAUCCUGAAACAUGACAAAGCAAUUAGAUACAUCUAAGGAAAUUUGAAUAAAGUAUGAACCGUAGUUAAAAAUGUAGGUAUCAAUGUUAGUACAUUAGUUGUGAUAAAUGUACUGCACUUAUGUACCAUGUAAACAAAAAAUUGGGGAGUGAGUAUAUGGGAACUCUCUAUUCCUCUGUGCAACUUUCCUGUAAAUCUAAAACGACAAUGUCAAGUGCUGCUGAAGAUGUAAAACAACAAAAAAAUAUGUUGCUUGGAACUGUCCUAUAGAGUCAAAUAUAUACCAACAAUAAACCCAGAAAUUCUAGUUGGAGGUAUUUACCCAAGAGGAAUGAAAACACACAAAUAUGUGUACAUAAGUGAUCAGAGCGACUAUGUUAGGAACUUUAUACACAUUAUCAUAUUUAGUUAUUCCAAGAUGCUUGAGAAAAAAAGCAAUCUUAUCGCAUUUUCUCAGAAGGAAACUAAAGACAUGAUGUUUCAAUCCACGUUCACGUUGAAAUGAAGAUUUUACACAAAGAUUGUAAGGUCUUGUAAGGUCUACCAUAAGCACAACUUUAUUCCAGAAGGAGAAGAGAUAAAUAAUAGGGCAAAAGCAAUUUUUGAGGAGACAACGGGCCUAAAAUUUCACAACUGAUAAAAUACACUAAUCUACAGAUAUAGGAAGUUCUAAGAACUCCAAGCAAUAUAAAUAUAAAGAAAAUUCAUUUA